UACGGGGGGGGGCAAGCGUUUGUUCGGAAUUACUGGGCGUAAAGCGCGCGUAGGCGGACCUGCAAGUCGGGGGUGAAAGCCCGAGGCUCAACCUCGGAACUGCCUUCGAUACUGCGGGUCUCGAGUCCGGGAGAGGUGAGUGGAAUUCCGUAGUGUAGAGGUGAAAUUCGUAGAUAUCGAGAGGAACGACCAGUGGCGAAGGCGAGUCUCUGGACGACACCUGACACUGAGGCACGAAAGCUAGGGGAGCAAACAGGAU
rnacentral:rRNA from 1 species